AUUGAACGCUGGCGGCAGGCCUAACACAUGCAAGUCGAACGGUAACAGGAAGCAGCUUGCUGCUUCGCUGACGAGUGGCGGACGGGUGAGUAAUGUCUGGGAAGCUGCCUGAUGGAGGGGGAUAACUACUGGAAACGGUAGCUAAUACCGCAUAAUGUCGCAAGACCAAAGAGGGGGACCUUCGGGCCUCUUGCCAUCGGAUGUGCCCAGAUGGGAUUAGCUUGUUGGUGGGGUAACGGCUCACCAAGGCGACGAUCCCUAGCUGGUCUGAGAGGAUGACAAGCCACACUGGAACUGAGGCACGGUCCAGACUCCUACGGGAGGCAGCAGUGGGGAAUAUUGCACAAUGGGCGCAAGCCUGAUGCAGCCAUGCCGCGUGUAUGAAGAAGGCCUUCGGGUUGUAAAGUACUUUCAGCGGGGAGGAAGGGAGUAAAGUUAAUACCUUUGCUCAUUGACGUUACCCGCAGAAGAAGCACCGGCUAACUACGUG
rnacentral:rRNA from 1 species